UAAUCAAGAGCUCUUCAAUCUAGGAGGAGUUCACGUCCUCCUAGCCUAGAUAGAGAACAGUUUAUGGAGGAUGAGGAAAGAUAAUCCUGUUAAUUGUCUCUUAAUAAUUCUUAGUGUUUCAUCUCUAUCUGAGAUAUUUGACUAAGCCCCUAGGGCUCUGAGUUUCAUGAGGCUACAGGUUCUGUCAGGAAGGAUGCACAGUCCCUGCUCCAUGGGAGACCUCCAUGGGAGAGCUCAUGAUUUGACUCCUUGCUUUGUUUCUUCUGCUUUGGGCUGCCUGCAUGUGCAUCAGGAGCUGCAAUAAUCACAGACACAGAAUGGAGUACAGAAGGGGAAUGAACACCAGCUCUCCUCUUUUUUUCCCCUCUUGCUCAUACAUCAGAUGUUCCAGGCUGAUCUACAUACAGUGCAACACACCAGUGUCUCCCCCAUUCAGUGUGUUCAGCUGUGACCGAGUGCCUCAUUGCUCCCCUGCCUAUAAAGGCGAAGUGCAUUGGCAGAGGCCACUCACGCAUGUCCAUGGUGAGGCCCCCUCAGGUCUCCAGCCAGCGUGUGCGAAGCUCACUGGGCCUUUUCAGCUCAGUGCUUGUGAGACCAAAGCAACCAAGGCCUCCUUGAAGAUGUGUUGCCCACCUUUGCUCUUCUCCUUGUUCUUGCCAGCUAUUUGUUGAACUGGACUAUGAAACCUGGGAGACUGGGAGCAGAGCCUGCAGGGCUUGGAGCACCGGGACUGGGGGACAGCCUGCUGAGAAGCACCACCUUUGGGCGACACUUGACCACCCUCUGCAUGAAGGAAAUCUUCCUAACAUCCAAUCUAAACCUCUGCUGGUGCAGCAUGAGGCUGUUGCCUGCCAUCCUAUCACUUAUCACCUGAGAAAAGAGACCAACAACCUCCUUGCUGCAGCCUCCUGCUGGGUGGUUGUACAGAGUGAUGAGGUCUCCCCUCACCUCUUUUCCUCUGUACCGAGCAGCCUUAGUUCCCUCAGCCACUCCUCCUAAGUCUUACUAAAUGAAACAAAGGCCUGUGCAG
rnacentral:lncRNA from 7 species